rnacentral:misc_RNA from 1 species
CAAACGUCGCUGGCCAAUCGUUCGGUUAGUCAGUUGCAGAGCUGCUCUCAAAUACCCUAAUGCAUCAAGGACUGGUCGAUCGACCAAGAUGACGUCGUUGGAAAGCGAUGCCUCGGCUUNNNNNNCCAUAAUCCACAACGUGCUCUCGAAUGUAUGAUCUCUUAGAAUUGGAAACCCAAUUGAUCGUGCUCUGCGUGCAAAGUCGCCGAUGCGGACGACUCUUAAAUGCGAGGGGCUCAGUGCUUCUUGAACGGCAUCAAAGAAGGAGGUUUUUCCGGUGGAAUGUGUGCCGGUAAUGCCAAUCUUGAUAGGCGGCGUGAUCACAAGAAAGAUCCCUGUUUCGGAUCGAGAAUGUUUG